CGUCCUCUGGUUUGCCUGCUGGAGAUCACUGAGUAAAACUCCAUGACCUUGACUUACAUCCAUAGUAGGCUGGGGAUUACAAUUGUCUACAGGUGAGAGAUAAUGAUCACCGAGAGAAUGCCAACUGAACACUCUUUAAAAUCCCGUCAAUAAGAGCCACUGUGAACAAGGGAGAACUUGCAAAGACCUGGGUUACUGGAUUCCCGGCAGCUGGAAGAGGAAGCGCAUGCCUUCACACAGAAGAAGGUUGCUUUUGAUCACGGUGUUCUGUCGCAGCAGUGGGCGUCCUAACCAAGGCAGUUCUCCAGGGUAACCUUUGGAACCGUACCUGGCUUUGUCACUGGGACAUUAGAAGAAGGGUCUUGCAGGUUGGUGGUGGUGUUGCGGGGACCGGAUACUGUCUGCUGCCUAAAAGGAUCCAACUCAGUGAACAGCGACAACGCGGGCUGUGCGUUGGUUUAAGUGGCAGGCACGCUCUUCUUUUUUUUCAAUCGUCUUUUCACGCAGCAGUGGCAAGGAGGCCCGCAUCUCUCUUCCCAACAGCUGUUGGCACUUGCUGCUUCCUCCAGCACGAAACCGGGCUCACGUGGCGUGUGCUCAGCCGAGGACCAUCACCUGGCUCAGGUGUGCUGUAUCUUUGGCCUCCAGUAGAGCUUU